rnacentral:lncRNA from 1 species
AGCUUGCAGCGAUGGCUGGAUUCGUCAGAUUGAUCUGGUCGAUCACAGCGUCAAGAACUGGAGCUACGUCGGAGGAAGGCCGCUUGGAAUUGCUGCUGGUUUGUCCAAGGAUGAAAUGCUCGUCUGCGAGCCACAGAUGGUAAGCAAAACUUUGAAAGAGUCUAAAAGAAACUUUGCAUACCUUUUGUUGAGAAGGGACUGCUCAGUGUCACCGAGAAUGGAGUCCGAGUUCUUUCCGGCCAAGCAGACGGCCUCAGCUACAAGUCCGUUAAGUUGCUUUCGCUACCACUGA